rnacentral:rRNA from 1 species
UACGAGGGGGGCAAGCGUUGUUCGGAAUUAUUGGGCGUAAAGGGCGCGUAGGCGGUGCGGUAAGUCACCUGUGAAAACUCUGGGCUCAACUCAGAGCCUGCAGGCGAAACUGCCGUGCUGGAGUGUGGGAGAGGUGCGUGGAAUUCCCGGUGUAGCGGUGAAAUGCGUAGAUAUCUGGAGGAACACCGGUGGCGAAGGCGGCGUUCUGGACUGCAACUGACACUGAGAAACGAAAGCCAGGGUAGCAAACGGG